UUAAGCGACUAAGCGUACACGGUGGAUGCCCUGGCAGUCAGAGGCGAUGAAGGACGUGCUAAUCUGCGAUAAGCGUCGGUGAGGUGAUAUGAACCGUUAUAACCGGCGAUUUCCGAAUGGGGAAACCCAGUGUGUUUCGACACACUAUCAUUAACUGAAUCCAUAGGUUAAUGAGGCGAACCGGGGGAACUGAAACAUCUAAGUACCCCGAGGAAAAGAAAUCAACCGAGAUUCCCCCAGUAGCGGCGAGCGAACGGGGAGGAGCCCAGAGCCUGAAUCAGUGUGUGUGUUAGUGGAAGCGUCUGGAAAGGCGCGCGAUACAGGGUGACAGCCCCGUACACAAAAAUGCACAUACUGUGAGCUCGAUGAGUAGGGCGGGACACGUGGUAUCCUGUCUGAAUAUGGGGGGACCAUCCUCCAAGGCUAAAUACUCCUGACUGACCGAUAGUGAACCAGUACCGUGAGGGAAAGGCGAAAAGAACCCCGGCGAGGGGAGUGAAAAAGAACCUGAAACCGUGUACGUACAAGCAGUGGGAGCCUCUUAAUGGGGUGACUGCGUACCUUUUGUAUAAUGGGUCAGCGACUUAUAUUCUGUAGCAAGGUUAACCGAAUAGGGGAGCCGAAGGGAAACCGAGUCUUAACUGGGCGUUAAGUUGCAGGGUAUAGACCCGAAACCCGGUGAUCUAGCCAUGGGCAGGUUGAAGGUUGGGUAACACUAACUGGAGGACCGAACCGACUAAUGUUGAAAAAUUAGCGGAUGACUUGUGGCUGGGGGUGAAAGGCCAAUCAAACCGGGAGAUAGCUGGUUCUCCCCGAAAGCUAUUUAGGUAGCGCCUCGUGAAUUCAUCUCCGGGGGUAGAGCACUGUUUCGGCAAGGGGGUCAUCCCGACUUACCAACCCGAUGCAAACUGCGAAUACCGGAGAAUGUUAUCACGGGAGACACACGGCGGGUGCUAACGUCCGUCGUGAAGAGGGAAACAACCCAGACCGCCAGCUAAGGUCCCAAAGUCAUGGUUAAGUGGGAAACGAUGUGGGAAGGCCCAGACAGCCAGGAUGUUGGCUUAGAAGCAGCCAUCAUUUAAAGAAAGCGUAAUAGCUCACUGGUCGAGUCGGCCUGCGCGGAAGAUGUAACGGGGCUAAACCAUGCACCGAAGCUGCGGCAGCGACGCUUAUGCGUUGUUGGGUAGGGGAGCGUUCUGUAAGCCUGUGAAGGUGGCCUGUGAGGGUUGCUGGAGGUAUCAGAAGUGCGAAUGCUGACAUAAGUAACGAUAAAGCGGGUGAAAAGCCCGCUCGCCGGAAGACCAAGGGUUCCUGUCCAACGUUAAUCGGGGCAGGGUGAGUCGACCCCUAAGGCGAGGCCGAAAGGCGUAGUCGAUGGGAAACAGGUUAAUAUUCCUGUACUUGGUGUUACUGCGAAGGGGGGACGGAGAAGGCUAUGUUGGCCGGGCGACGGUUGUCCCGGUUUAAGCGUGUAGGCUGGUUUUCCAGGCAAAUCCGGAAAAUCAAGGCUGAGGCGUGAUGACGAGGCACUACGGUGCUGAAGCGACAAAUGCCCUGCUUCCAGGAAAAGCCUCUAAGCAUCAGGUAACAUUAAAUCGUACCCCAAACCGACACAGGUGGUCAGGUAGAGAAUACCAAGGCGCUUGAGAGAACUCGGGUGAAGGAACUAGGCAAAAUGGUGCCGUAACUUCGGGAGAAGGCACGCUGAUAUGUAGGUGAAGCGACUUGCUCGUGGAGCUGAAAUCAGUCGAAGAUACCAGCUGGCUGCAACUGUUUAUUAAAAACACAGCACUGUGCAAACACGAAAGUGGACGUAUACGGUGUGACGCCUGCCCGGUGCCGGAAGGUUAAUUGAUGGGGUUAGCGGUAACGCGAAGCUCUUGAUCGAAGCCCCGGUAAACGGCGGCCGUAACUAUAACGGUCCUAAGGUAGCGAAAUUCCUUGUCGGG
rnacentral:rRNA from 1 species